AAUCAUUUUGAGGUUCUCCAAAGAGGAAGGCAAGGCUAAGGUUUGGCGAUUCGAGAUUGUUGCUUAGCAUUCCAGGUAGACAGGGAGACGGCCCGGACACCUAGGAGCUUUACCAGUAGUUGUACAAGAGCACUCCACUACUCCGGAGUUGCCGCUAUCGAUUGUGUUCCAGAGAUAUCAUCCAGACUACAUCUCUAGCUUGAAGCUAGCUCGCUCGAUCAGAUCCGAGGGUGAGCUUCUACCCAUGUCAUGCCACCUGAAGAUCUCUCUUUCUAGAUGUCUAAUUUCAUUCUAGACAUUAUUUAUUAUUAUAUUUGAGAUAUACUUCAUUCUUUAGACAUUGUUAGUUAGAGUCCUUGUACGAUGACUUUCAGAUUCUGGGGGUGUAAUAGUUAAAACUUUCGCACUUGUACUAUUUAUUAUUUAUGAUUUGGUAGACUAUUUCUUCA